rnacentral:rRNA from 1 species
UACAGAGGGGGGCAAGCGUUAUUCGGAAUUAUUGGGCGUAAAGGGCGCGUAGGCGGCCAUUCAAGUGACGGGUGAAAGCCCUCGGCUUAACCGAGGAACUGCCUGUCAGACUGGAUGGCUCGAGACCGGGAGAGGUGAGUGGAAUUCCCAGUGUAGCGGUGAAAUGCGUAGAUAUUGGGAGGAACACCAGUGGCGAAGGCGGCUCACUGGACCGGAACUGACGCUGAUGCGCGAAAGCGUGGGGAGCAAACAGG